GAUCCUGGCUCAGGAUGAACGCUAGCUACAGGCUUAACACAUGCAAGUCGAGGGGCAGCAUGUUGGUUGCUUGCAACCAAUGAUGGCGACCGGCGCACGGGUGAGUAACGCGUAUCCAACCUACCCUUGUCCAUCGGAUAACCCGUCGAAAGGCGGCCUAACACGAUAUGCGGUUCACAGCAGGCAUCUACGUGACGAAAUAGUGAAGGAGAAGGAUGGGGAGUGCGU
rnacentral:rRNA from 1 species